AAGAUGUGAUGGGGACACUUCCUCUGAAACUCCUGAAAUUCCUCCCAUGCCUCAUAUAGUGUAUCUCCAUUCUUUUGAGUGAAGUUUUGAAUCUCCCUCCUUAGUCGU
rnacentral:snoRNA from 1 species